rnacentral:rRNA from 1 species
UGAGGAAUAUUGCGCAAUGGAGGAAACUCUGACGCAGCAACGCCGCGUGGGUGAAGAAGGCUUUCGGGUUGUAAAGCCCUGUCAGGUGGGAAGAAACCUCUUUGAGUAAAUAGCUCAGAGAACUGACGGUACCACCAAAGGAAGCACCGGCUAACUCCGUGCCAGCAGCCGCGGUAAGACGGAGGGUGCAAGCGUUGUUCGGAAUCACUGGGCGUAAAGCGCGUGUAGGCGGCCCGAUUAGUCGAGUGUGAAAGCCCGGGGCUCAACCUCGGAAGCGCAUUCGAAACUGUCGGGCUUGAGUACGGGAGAGGGAAGUGGAAUUCCUGGUGUAGAGGUGAAAUUCGUAGAUAUCAGGAGGAACACCGGUGGCGAAGGCGGCUUCCUGGACCGAUACUGACGCUGAGACGCGAAAGCGUGGGGAGCAAACAGG